GCCCGGGUGGCGGAAUUGGUAGACGCGCCAGCCUCAGGAGCUGGUGAGGGCAACCUCGUGCUGGUUCGAAUCCAGUCCCGGGCACCA
rnacentral:tRNA from 1 species